rnacentral:RNase_P_RNA from 1 species
UGAGUAAGUCAGAUAGUCGCGUCGGGCAAAUUUCCCGACGAGGAAAGUCCGAGCUGCAAAGGGCAAGGGUGCCGGGUAACUCCCGGUAGAGGCGACUCUAAGGAUAGUGCAACAGAAAGAAACUACUGCAUUUUGCAGUACAGGUGGAAAGGUGAGGUAAAAGCUCACCGGCGGUAAGGCGACUUACCGGCCGUGUAAACCCCAUCCGCAGCAACACCGACAGGGGUGCCUGCCCGGCAUAUACCCCGAAGGGUGGCUUGAGCGACAUAGUAAUGUGCCGCCUAGAUAGAUGGCUGUCAAAUACAGAACUCGGCUUACAGACUUGCUCAUAUU